CUUCCCAAAUUAAUUACCCUGUAUUCACGACACAACUCAUCUCACCUGGUUCCAUCCCUCGCGCACCCGUCUGGCCGUCCUUCCUUAGCGCCGUCAUCGUCGUCCCCGUUCGCCGCCCGGCCCUCCUCUUCGCAUCGUCGGUGCGUCAUCCCGUUCGGCGGCCACGCGAGGACUGGCCUACAAACUGCUCGUCCACGACCUCGCAAACGCAGAGCCGUCAUGCUUGUCUCCACCAAGAUCGGACCCUACUCCAUUUGCUGUUGUGGCAUGCGGUCGACCUCGUCGGUACGUCGUUUCUAUUCGGGAAGGAAGCCACGACGAGUGGAUUACUGAAGGUUCCGUGCGAGUUGAAGGUACUACAUGCGGCAGGUUGUAAGAAUGAGCCCCCAUCUGAUCUAGGUUGAUGGAAGCGGAAAAACAUACUUUGCUGAUGGUGAGAAUAACACGACGGUCGAUGGUGGGCCUAGCAUGCAGCAUGCUGUCGAGCAUCUCAGUGCUAAGGGUUAUGGUCAUCAGCUUGGAAGCAAACUAGCCAUACGCACCACUUGGUUGCUUGGAGAAAAAUGACUAUGGUUUAUGAAGCAUGGGUUGUUGGGUUGGAUGCUUGAUUUUCCUAUGAUGGAAGAAAAGGGUGCACAUUUGUAUUUCUA